GAGAGAGACAUGCGCGCAUAUCAAUAAGCGGAGGAAAAGAAACUAACAAGGAUUCCCCUAGUAACGGCGAGUGAAGCGGGAAGAGCUCAAAUUUGAAAUCUUAAAGGGUUUCCCUUUACGAAUUGUAGUUUAAAGAAGUGUUUUCUGUUGGAGUUUCGGUAAAAGUUCUUUGGAAUAGGACAUCAUAGAGGGUGAGAAUCCCGUAUUUGACCGUUACUUUCCAGCUGUGUGAUACACUUUCAAAGAGUCGGAUUGUUUGGGAAUGCAGUCCAAGAUGGGUGGUAAAUUUCAUCUAAAGCUAAAUAUUGGCGAGGGACCGAUAGCGAACAAGUACCGUGAGGGAAAGAUGAAAAGAACUUUGAAAAGAGAGUUAAACAGUACGUGAAAUUGUCAAAAGGGAAGCGUUUGACACCAGUGUUGUUUAGUUGAAAAUCAAUUCAAUAGUUUUUGAUUCUAAGUAGUAUUGACUUCAUCAGCUUGCUGCUUUCUUCUCAGAAAUUAUUGAAUGCACUUUUCAGUUAACAAGUCAACAUCAAUUUCUUUUGUUGUAAAAGGGUAUGAGGAAGGUGGCUUUCUUUUCGGAGAAAGUGUUUAUAGCCUUGUGCCUCUGCAAUCGGAGAGAUUGAGGUCUGCAGCGUAGAUCCUUCGGGGUUAGAUACGUUUGUGCUAAGUUAUAGCUUUUCAUAGACAACUUGUUGACUAUGUUUAGUCUUGUAGCUUACUCGCUGACGCUAUUUUACCUACGCUUAGGAUGUUGAUAGUCACAGCGUGUAC
rnacentral:rRNA from 1 species